GAGGAAGCGGCACUUAGCUGGGCAGAGGUGGGCACGAGAGGGCUCACUUUUCACAGCACGAGCGACAAAACCCCACUCAUGCGUUAAGAAAAACGGCGUGGAUGUCACAGCCUCUCUCUCUCUCACACAGCGUGGGAAGUAUCCCCGCUUUUGGAUAACACAACAACACACGGCCGGCGAAAACGAAAGGCGUUUAAGACAACAGGAAAAAACAAACUUGGCAGUGACAGCCGUACCUGGAGUUUUCCUGUGCCCGGUUAUAACUGCCUCACCACUCACUGGAUGCAGCCAGGUUGUACUCUUGCCUUCUUCGCUGUUGAGAGAGACAGAGGUAGAGAGAGAAAAGCAUUCAUUAAUCCAGCGGUGACUUUUGUUCGAAUUAGAAACGAGCAGAAUGACUUGAAGCGUUUUCCUUUGGAAGGGAUAUUUACUUAGCGAAGAAGACGCGUCCAUCCCGAGUAACACCAUAACUCCAGGAAGACGGGAGGCAAGAAAUCCACUCGGGUUGUAGCUCCGCCGCCAUGUCUGGCAGUACUGUAUGACAAUCGCGCGGCUCCGCUCUCCCAGGCAGCGCGUACACGGAAACCUUGGCAACGGCGGGUGGCUGAGAGGCGGGCAGGGUGCAGAGCGGGCAGUGACAGAUACCAAGGAAACAGUCUGAAAAAUGUGACACAGCAAGAUUCCCUGGAUGGCUGCCAUGUCCCUGCAGAAGUUUAGAUUUUGCUGUUUAUUGUUCCCUCUGUGGACUUCUGCAUACAUCCCAACUGAAGAUGCCUCUUCAAGAUAAAUCCCAGCAAAAGAUGAAAAAGGGGAGAAGAACACAGCAGGCGGCUGGCAGCCAUCUUUCCCAGAAAUUGUGUGAACCCACUCUCAUCUGUGAAGAGAGCAGGAUGCCAAUGGCAGACCAGCCAGUUCUGGUAUUCUCUAGGGAAUGCCAGUCGAUUUGCAUGGUGCUGGGUCGUGAGCACAAGUCCCAUUAAGAAGCAGAUAUUGGUCCUGCAGCUCAGUUGAUGCCCUUCUGCAGUCCUGUCCUGUCCUCCUCUCCUCGUGUAAUAGCCUACCUCCUGGUAUCUCUACCACAGUCUUGAGAUUGGGCUUGGAGACACAGCAAAUGUUUUAGCAGCUGCACAUAAGGACAUGCCAUCCUGGUUGAGUUGGACUACCUGUGGAUCCUGAAUGGACUGCUUGUACCAUCUCAUGCUACCAGUAGAAGAGAACACUGGUCGUUGGCAACUUUUCCUUGAGGGUGGGCAAUUGUUUUAUUGUGUGCCACAGCGAACCUGAACUGUACUUGUUGUCAACUGUACGUAGAUUCAAACACAAUUUUCCUGUCUACAGUGUCCAAACAUGUUUAGGUGCAGCACCAGGUAAAGUUGCCAUGUUCAGUGUGACUCUAAAUUUAGGAUACUCGUGGUUUAAUUGUUAGAAUUUUUAAAUGUAAAUUCUGUUUUGUACGGUGCAUCGUGCCACUGCCCGUCUCCUGCUGGAAGUCACCAAAAUGCAGCAUCCAGGACAAACAUCACUGUGCCACAACAAUCUGUCACUUCUUAAAGUCAUCAAGUGAACAAUGUGGUUGCACUAAAAUGGAACCAACUGUAAAAUGCUUUUUAUAGCCCCUAGAGUCUGUGCAGAACUUCAUGACAAAGGUACAUCUUGAAAGCCUUUUACACUCAAUAACCAGACAUACAAGCUUAUGUGGAAAAGAAAUCAUGAGUGUUUUUUAUAUAAACACUCAGAACAGGCUGCAUGCUCUGUAAGAAUUAUAUCUCUUAUACUGUGAUUUUCUUAUGAAAGUGUCCUA